rnacentral:rRNA from 1 species
UCAGGACGAACGCUGGCGGCGUGCUUAACACAUGCAAGUCGAACGAUGAAGCACCAGCUUGCUGGUGUGGAUUAGUGGCGAACGGGUGAGUAACACGUGAGUAACCUGCCCCUCACUCUGGGAUAAGCCUGGGAAACUGGGUCUAAUACUGGAUACGACCGAUCUCCGCAUGGAGUGUUGGUGGAAAGUUUUUGUGGUGGGGGAUGGACUCGCGGCCUAUCAGCUUGUUGGUGGGGUAAUGGCCUACCAAGGCGACGACGGGUAGCCGGCCUGAGAGGGCGACCGGCCACACUGGGACUGAGACACGGCCCAGACUCCUACGGGAGGCAGCAGUGGGGAAUAUUGCACAAUGGGCGAAAGCCUGAUGCAGCGACGCCGCGUGAGGGAUGACGGCCUUCGGGUUGUAAACCUCUUUCACCAGGGACGAAGCUAACGUGACGGUACCUGGAGAAGAAGCACCGGCUAACUACGUGCCAGCAGCCGCGGUAAUACGUAGGGUGCGAGCGUUGUCCGGAAUUAUUGGGCGUAAAGAGCUUGUAGGCGGUCUGUCGCGUCUGCUGUGAAAGACCGGGGCUUAACUCCGGUUCUGCAGUGGGUACGGGCAGACUAGAGUGUGGUAGGGGAGACUGGAAUUCCUGGUGUAGCGGUGAAAUGCGCAGAUAUCAGGAGGAACACCGAUGGCGAAGGCA